rnacentral:sRNA from 1 species
AUUUUCAAUUUUUUUAUACAGUUUUUUUUUACAGUUUUGCAUUAUUCUAUAACAGUUUACCGCGUCAGUUAACAACUUAUCGCUCUAGCUAACAGCUAAAGUUUUGUUACCAAUCAGACUCUUAAAUCUUAAGAA